rnacentral:rRNA from 1 species
UACGUAGAAGGCGAACGUUAUCCGGAUUUACUGGGCGUAAAGCGGGUGUAGGCAGCUUUCUAAGUCAGUUGUGGAAUCUCCCGACUCAAUCGGGAGACUGCAAUUGAUACUGGAGAACUAGAGGGCAUCAGAAGAAAGCAGAAUUCACGGUGUAGCGGUGAAAUGCGUAGAUAUCGUGAGGAAUACCAGUGGCGAAGGCGGCUUUCUAGGAUGCUCCUGACGCUGAGGCCCGAAAGUGUGGGGAGCGAAACGG